rnacentral:rRNA from 1 species
UGGCGAGAGACCGAUAGCGAACAAGUACCGCGAGGGAAAGAUGAAAAGGACUUUGAAAAGAGAGUCAAAGAGUGCUUGAAAUUGUCGGGAGGGAAGCGGAUGGGGGCCGGCGAUGUGUCUCGGUCGGAUGUGGAACGGUUUGUGCCGGUCCGCCAAUCGACUCGGGACAUCGACCGACGCGGAUUGUGAUGGUGGCCCAAGCCUGGGUUGUUGAAAUGCUCGCGGAGACGUCAUCAUCACGAUUGUGGACGGCAGCGCGCGCUGUUUCGGCGUGCUUCGGCACUUGCGUGCUCCUGGCGUCGGCCUGUGGGCUCCCCAUUCGACCCGUCUUGGAACACGGACCAAGGAGUCUGACAUGUGUGC